UACGUAGGGAGCAAGCGUUGUCCGGAUUUAUUGGGCGUAAAGAGCUCGUAGGCGGCUAAGUAAGCCAGGUGUGAAACCUCCAGGCUCAACCUGGAGACGCCACUUGAUACUGCUUUGGCUUGAGUUCGGUAGGGGUAAGCGGAAUUCCUGGUGUAGCGGUGAAAUGCGCAGAUAUCAGGAGGAACACCGAUGGCGAAGGCAGCUUACUGGGCCGAUACUGACGCUGAGGAGCGAAAGCGUGGGGAGCGAACAGG
rnacentral:rRNA from 1 species